GGGCUUCUUGGCCAAAAAUCAUCAACUUCUUGGCAUGUUUUAAAUUUUUCUGAAUUCUGGACCUUUAUGUACAUUUUUGAGGUGUACAAAUACCAAAAUAAGGAAUUGGGCCUCGGUGGCCCUAUAGGAUAGUGCAAGAAACAAAUAAUCAUGAAGCCCAUGGGAGAUUUCACAUGCAAACAAAGGGUAAUAAAGUGAGUAACAAAUCGUGAUUCAAAGUGAGCAAAUGUCUACUAAAGGUAAAUAUAUGACAUCAUAUUCAAUUAUAAACAGAAUAAAGAAACAUAGAAGCCUUAAGACAACCAAAGCAAUAGUCCAAGAUUGAGAAAACACAAAUAUUCAGGAAUAUAUAAAAAUAUUGCUUUAUCCAAAAAUUUCACACUAAGAAAAUAUGAAAGCCCACUACUGACUUGAUGACUUUCAAUGAAUCAUGCACACUAAACAAUAGUAGAACAGUUUGUGUAAAAAAGUAAACAUUUUGAUAAUAACUAUCAACAAAAAUGAAAAAGAGGUCAACAUUUUCUAGACAUGUUCUUCCCAACAUGAAUGGAUAUCACCAAACUCAAAAAAAAUAAAAUAAAAGAAUGAUAUGACGUUACGAAUAGCUAAAAAUCGUAGAACAACCUGCAUUAACUACAAUUCAACUUUAUAAUUACAAAGUAAUAUGCAUAAACUGUUGUUUCUCCUCAAUCGAUAAUAACUCAAAAUACCUAAGAAUGAUACAUAGUGUACUCCAACAGGCUUAAGAAAAGGGGGAAAAAUUACAUGACAUUAAUACAAAGUUUUUUAUUUUUAUAAGAAAAACAAUUUGUACUGAACAUGUCACUAGAGAAAACAACACAAGUACAACAAGAAAAAAUAAGAUGCAAACUUCAUAUUUUCCGCAACUUUGGGUAAGAAAAUGAAGACAAGAAUAUAACUACUAGCUUAAAUGCACAAGACAAAGACAAUAUUCGGAUUGCAAGCAUAACUACAAGCCUCAUGAGAUAUUCUAAUACUAAUUUAGAAUCGGCCAACGCAUAGUAGAAAUGAUAAAAGAGGUCACUAAAACAUGAGUAAACAGUGCAGAAGUCCAAACAACUAAACAUCCAAAGUCACAACCAAAUGCAUCAACUAUUUCACUUCCAUUUAUAUUUCAUAUUUGAUAGUCCUAAGAACUCACAGGAGAAACUAAACUUAAAACGAAAUAAUAAUAUGGAGAAAAUAACUAAUCUUAAUAAAUGGACUCCGCUAAACAUCAUAGGAAAAGAAUACAGAAAGAUGAGGUUACCUUUUUCUGCGCAAAAAAAUUGACACAGUGACGAAGCAGGGAAACCAGCUCCUCCAAACAAGCACGGACGCGAGCAACAGUAAAGAACCAAGUAAAAUCUCUUAUCGCGAAUGAAACUGAAAAAAAAUAUGACAAAAUGACUUAGAAAUUUUAAGCUUCGAUCGAGAGUAAAUCACUUCUACCUUGAAAGUAUUUUUGUGUAUUUUAGCCAUUUGGCUUAAGAUAUUUUUUGGUGUGUGUUUGAUUCAAGGAAUGAUCCAAGUAAAAAUCUCCAAUUCAAAAAUUACCAACCAUUUUCUAAAAAAAAAUUACCCCCUUUAACUGUGAACCAAUAACGAUUAUAUAUCAAACUGGGAUUAGGGUUUUUGAAAUAAAAGGGAGGGGGGAGCAGAUGAUAUUUUUUGGACAAAUACCAUACCAAUUAAAAUUUCAAAACUCAAAAUUUAUCCCAUUUAGGCUUAAAACCUUUUCCAAAAUCUUCGACCCCAUUUCAUAAGAGGAAGGGGGAUGCACUCUUAAGAUGCAUUACCAUGUCCUUGGCGUCGACGUGCAUUCAUCUCAUUGUUGCAAGGAUGAAAACACAACUGGAUUUUUGCUGCAAGUACGAGUUGAGAGCGACAUUUAUAGAAGACGACAAUGGCAUCUGGUUUGCUUUGUUUUUACGCAUGUGUAGGCGAAGCACGCCAUUUCUCUAAUUUGCUUUGAUGCAUUUUCUAGAUCUAUUGAUUUGUGAAGGGAGAAUGGAUGUGGGUUGGGUCAAGUGUGGAAAGAGUGGGCUGGGUAUUUUGAAUUUGGAAAAUGGAUUGGGAUUAGGGUUUUUGAAAUAAAAGGGAGGGGGGAGCAGAUGAUAUUUUUUGGACAAAUACCAUACCAAUUAAAAUUUCAAAACUCAAAAUUUAUCCCAUUUAGGCUUAAAACCUUUUCCAAAAUCUUCGACCCCAUUUCAUAAGAGGAAGGGGGAUGCACUCUUAAGAUGCAUUACCAUGUCCUUGGCGUCGACGUGCAUUCAUCUCAUUGUUGCAAGGAUGAAAACACAACUGGAUUUUUGCUGCAAGUACGAGUUGAGAGCGACAUUUAUAGAAGACGACAAUGGCAUCUGGUUUGCUUUGUUUUUACGCAUGUGUAGGCGAAGCACGCCAUUUCUCUAAUUUGCUUUGAUGCAUUUUCUAGAUCUAUUGAUUUGUGAAGGGAGAAUGGAUGUGGGUUGGGUCAAGUGUGGAAAGAGUGGGCUGGGUAUUUUGAAUUUGGAAAAUGGAUUGGGAUUAGGGUUUUUGAAAUAAAAGGGAGGGGGGAGCAGAUGAUAUUUUUUGGACAAAUACCAUACCAAUUAAAAUUUCAAAACUCAAAAUUUAUCCCAUUUAGGCUUAAAACCUUUUCCAAAAUCUUCGACCCCAUUUCAUAAGAGGAAGGGGGAUGCACUCUUAAGAUGCAUUACCAUGUCCUUGGCGUCGACGUGCAUUCAUCUCAUUGUUGCAAGGAUGAAAACACAACUGGAUUUUUGCUGCAAGUACGAGUUGAGAGCGACAUUUAUAGAAGACGACAAUGGCAUCUGGUUUGCUUUGUUUUUACGCAUGUGUAGGCGAAGCACGCCAUUUCUCUAAUUUGCUUUGAUGCAUUUUCUAGAUCUAUUGAUUUGUGAAGGGAGAAUGGAUGUGGGUUGGGUCAAGUGUGGAAAGAGUGGGCUGGGUAUUUUGAAUUUGGAAAAUGGAUUGGGA
rnacentral:lncRNA from 1 species